AAAUAGUUCAUUUGUUAGUGAUAAAUGUUAACAUAGCCUAGCAAAGAGAGCGUCUGUGCCCUCCCACCUUAGUGUAAGAAGAGGAAGCAGAGUUGCUGGGGGCUGCCUCUGGGACUUUGUAUGCAGGACCUGGAGCACACAGGUGCGGUGUUGUUCACAGGUGUGGUGGUGUUUGCAGGUGCAAUGUUGUCCGCAGGUGUGGUGAUUUCCUGCCCGCAGGUGCAGUGAUUUCCUGCCCGCAGGUGCGGUGUUGCCCACAGGUGUGGUGCUGUCUGCAGGUGUGGUGUUGUCCUGCCCGCAGGUGUGGUGUCAUCCGCAGGUAUAGUGUUGUCUGCAGGUGUGGUGUUGCCCUGCCUGCAGAUGUGGUGUUGGCUGCAGGUGUGUUGUCCCCAGGUAUGGUGUUGCCCUGCCUGCAGGUGCGGUGUCACCCAUAGGUGUGGUGUUGCCCACAGUUGCAGUGUUGCCCGCAGGUGUGGUGUUGUCCGCAGGUGUGGUGUUGCCUGCAGGUGUAGUAUUGCUCUGCCUGCAGGUGUAUGUGUGUUGCCCACAGUGCUGUGGGUAUGUGUCGUGUGUGCAGGUGUAUUGCUCUGCCUGCAGGUGCGGUGUUGCCUGCAGAUGUGGUGUUACCCUGCCCACAGAUGCAGUGUUGCCCUGCCCGCAGGUGCGGUGUUGCCUGCAGGUAUGGUGUCGCCACAGGUGCAGUGUUGUUUGCUGGAGGGAGGAAGAGCACACCGGGCGUGGUGGACAGAACAGCCUCGAUUGCCGCCGGUAAUGGGAUAACGAUGACAACAGGGAAGAUGCUGGCAAUGACGGCUCCCAUCGAGUGCUCGUGUGCCAGGCACGGGGAUCAGCGCUUUCUGGGAAUGAUCAAGUUGAAUCCUCUGUUCCAUUGGCCUUUCCCCCUGAGGGAGUUGUUGCAAUGACCCUCCGGGCCAGCAGCGCUAAUUAGGAGCACACAGCGCACUUCCAGAGCACCUGACCUACGGCUACAAGGCUUCAAGGAUGCUGCUUCUGAGGAGACAUCAUAGAAUUCUUUGGCAUUCUUCCUGUAGCUCAGAGUCCCACGAUUCUCUUUGUAAACACGUUGCACCAGGUCUUCCUCAGGGGACAGGUCGCAGGACAGCAUGCAUUUGGCGGUCCGUGUACACACAUCAUGUGCCUGAGGGCCUGGGAAUCUGCUCUAACAAGACUCCACGGCUGGCACCGUGGAUCUGAGUGGGCUCCUGCUUUGUUGAGCUUAGAGUCAUCCACAGGCAUUCUCCAGGGCGCAUUGGCUUUCUGCAGAAGCCAAUGGUGAAUUCAGCAAAGCCACACCCACUGCAUAUCCUUGAUCCUUAAAGCCACAGACCCAGUAUGGGUAUUUCACAGACUUCCCAGUAUGUCAAUCCUAUUUGACCUUAACAGACCCUGGAACUGCCCACUAGGUGCAUCCACAGACUCAAAGGAUCUACGCUUCAGACAGCAAAGUCCUGACAUGUGCAGCCGUGUGGAGGAUGCCGAAGGAAUUGGAAUCAGGCAGCCACGAGUCCCCUGAUGAUUCAUCCAGCACUGCGCAGACCCUGGAGCUGCUCUGUCACCUUGACAACACAGCCCAUGGCAACAUGGCCUGUGUCGUGUGGGAACCAAUGGGAGAUGGGAAGAAAAUCAUUUCAUUGGCCGAUAACCAUAUCCUGCUGUGGGAUUUACAGGAAAGCUCAAGCCAGGCUGUGCUGGCCAGCUCAGCGUCCCUGGAAGGGAAGGGACAGCUGAAGUUCACCUCAGGACGGUGGAGCCCACAUCAUAACUGCACCCAGGUGGCCACAGCGAACGACACCACCCUCCGUGGCUGGGACACCCGGAGCAUGAGCCAGAUCUACUGCAUAGAGAAUGCCCACGGACAGCUGGUGCGGGACCUUGACUUUAAUCCCAAUAAGCAGUACUACUUGGCCAGCUGCGGAGAUGACUGUAAGGUGAAGUUCUGGGACACCCGAAAUGUCACCGAACCCGUGAAGACCCUGGAGGAGCACUCCCACUGGGUGUGGAACGUCCGCUACAACCAUUCUCACGACCAGCUGGUCCUCACUGGCAGCAGUGACAGCAGAGUCAUCCUUUCCAACAUGGUGUCCAUCUCAUCGGAGCCCUUCGGCCACUUGGUGGACGACGAUGACAUCAGUGACCAGGAGGACCACCGUUCCGAAGAGAAGAGCAAGGAGCCCCUGCAGGACAACGUCAUCGCCACCUACGAGGAGCACGAGGACAGCGUCUACGCUGUGGACUGGUCCUCGGCCGACCCAUGGCUGUUUGCCUCCCUGAGCUAUGACGGGAGGCUCGUGAUCAAUAGGGUGCCCAGGGCCCUGAAGUACCACAUCCUGCUGUGACUCCCAGGCCUGGGUUAUCCAGGUCCCAUUGGGUGGUUUUCCUCUUGGCAGAUUCUCAAACAGUCGCAGCUCUUUGGAGGUGACUUGUUUUCCAGGUGGAUCCCUCUCUGGGAUAGCCGCUGUUCCAUUCCUGUAGCAGCAGCAUUUAUGAAUGGGGUGAAUGGGGCUGUUGUUGACAGCACAGCUAAUGUCCGAACCCAGCUCCUGUCGGCAGAGACAGAGCCCCACAUUGUUAUGUGAAUAACAACGUUUUCUGUUUUAAGGGUGUUAGGAGUUUCACUUUUUAAAAAAAAUAUCUGUUCCUGCAAUAGUAACUCUUCUUUCUCUUGAGAGUAAAAAAUGAAAUAAAAUAAAUCCACACUGCACAGGUGCUCGGCUCAUUCUUUCAGGAGCCCUGCCCUGUGACCCCA
rnacentral:sRNA from 1 species